rnacentral:rRNA from 1 species
AAGACCUUGCGCUUUUGGAGCGGCCGAUGYCUGAUUAGCUUGUUGGURAGGUAAAAGCUUACCAAGGCUUCGAUCAGUAGCUGGUCUGAGAGGACGACCAGCCACACUGGGACUGAGACACGGCCCAGACUCCUACGGGAGGCAGCAGUGGGGAAUUUUGGACAAUGGGGGMAACCCUGAUCCAGCCAUGCCGCGUGAGUGAAGAAGGCCUUCGGGUUGUAAAGCUCUUUCAGCCGGAACGAAACGGUUACGGUUAAUACCCGUGACUACUGACGGUACCGGAAGAAGAAGCACCGGCUAACUACGUGCCAGCAGCCGCGGUAAUACGUAGGGUGCGAGCGUUAAUCGGAAUUACUGGGCGUAAAGCGUGCGCAGGUGGUUUUGUAAGUCAGAUGUGAAAUCCCCGGGCUCAACCUGGGAACU